AGAACGAACGCUGGCGGCAGGCUUAACACAUGCAAGUCGAACGCUCGUAGCAAUACGGGAGUGGCAGACGGGUGAGUAACGCGUGGGAACGUACCCUUCGGUUCGGAAUAACCCGGGGAAACUCGGGCUAAUACCGGAUACGUCCGCAAGGAGAAAGAUUUAUCGCCGAAGGAUCGGCCCGCGUCCGAUUAGCUAGUUGGCGGGUAAUGGCCCACCAAGGCGACGAUCGGUAGCUGGUCUGAGAGGAUGAUCAGCCACACUGGGACUGAGACACGGCCCAGACUCCUACGGGAGGCAGCAGUGGGGAAUAUUGGACAAUGUGCGAAAGCCUGAUCCAGCCAUGCCGCGUGAGUGAAGAAGGCCUUAGGGUUGUAAAGCUCUUUCAGCGGGAAGAUAAUGACGGUACCCGCAGAAGAAGCCCCGGCUAACUCGUGCCAGCAGCCGC
rnacentral:rRNA from 1 species